GAUGAACGCUGGCGGCGUGCCUAAUACAUGCAAGUCGAGCGGACGGACGAGCAGCCUCCUGCUCUGAUGUUAGAGUCGGACGGCUAAGGAACACGUAGAUAACCUACCUAUAAGACUCAGAUAACUUCGGGAAACCGGAACUAAUACCUGAUAAUAUUUUGAACCGCAUGGUUCAACCGUGAAAGACAGUCUUGCUGUCACUUAUAGAGGAUUCCGCGCUGCAGUAUCUGGUUGGUAAGGUAAGGGUUUACCAAGGCAACGAUGCAUAGCCGACCUCAGAGGGAGAUGGUCGACAGUGGCAUUGGGACUGGGACCCGACCCCUACGCGAGGCAGAAGUAGGGAAUCUGCCGCAAGGGGCGAAAGCCUGACGGAGAAACGGCGCGGGAGUGAUGAAGGUGUCGGGAUCCUAAAACUCUGCUCCUAGGGACGAAGAUAUGUGUACGUAGCUGUGCACAUCGUGACGGUACUUAAUCAGAAAGCCCCGGCUAACUACGUG
rnacentral:rRNA from 1 species